rfam:Glossina austeni unplaced genomic scaffold Scaffold207, whole genome shotgun sequence.
GGAAUAGUUUUAGUAUGUAGGUGCCAUGGACGUCAAAUCGUGCAUGCUGUUGGUAUGGGCCAGUAGCAUCUUUUGAAGAUUUCUGCCUCC